rnacentral:tRNA from 1 species
GCAGUGGUGGUUCAGUGAUAGAAUUCUUGCCUUCUAGGCAGGAGACCUGAGUUUGAUUCCCUGCCAAUACU